rnacentral:rRNA from 1 species
ACGGAGGGAGCUAGCGUUGUUCGGAAUUACUGGGCGUAAAGCGCACGUAGGCGGCUUUUUAAGUCAGGGGUGAAAUCCCGGGGCUCAACCCCGGAACUGCCCUUGAAACUGGAGAGCUAGAGUCUUGGAGAGGCGAGUGGAAUUCCGAGUGUAGAGGUGAAAUUCGUAGAUAUUCGGAAGAACACCAGUGGCGAAGGCGGCUCACUGGCCCGAUACUGACGCUGAGGCACGAAAGCGUGGGGAGCAAACAGGA